rnacentral:rRNA from 1 species
GAUGAACGCUAGCGGGAGGCCUAACACAUGCAAGCCGAGCGGUAUUGUUUCUUCGGAAAUGAGAGAGCGGCGUACGGGUGCGUAACACGUGUGCAACCUGCCUUUAUCUGGGGGAUAGCCUUUCGAAAGGAAGAUUAAUACUCCAUAAUAUAUUGAACGGCAUCGUUUAAUAUUGAAAGCUCCGGCGGAUAGAGAUGGGCACGCGCAAGAUUAGCUAGUUGGUGAGGUAACGGCUCACCAAGGCGAUGAUCUUUGGGGGGCCUGAGAGGGUGAUCCCCCACAUGGGUACGGAGACACGGACCAGGAUCCUGCGGGAGGCAGCAGUGAGGAAUAUUGGUCAAUGGGUGCAAGCCUGAACCAGCCAUCCCGCGUGAAGGACGACUGCCCUAUGGGUUGUAAACUUCUUUUGUAUAGGGAUAAACCUACCCUCGUGAGGGUAGCUGAAGGUACUAUACGAAUAAGCACCGGCUAACUCCGUGCCAGCAGCCGCCGUAA